UGGUCGUUAGCUCAGUUGGUAGAGCAGUUGACUUUUAAUCAAUUGGUCGCAGGUUCGAAUCCUGCACGACCCACCA
rnacentral:tRNA from 11 species